GAUAACCUCGGGAACCUCGAAUGCGCGAUCGUAACCGCCCUUGCCAGCCUCGUCACGGAUGGAGUUGCCGUAUUCCAACACUUCAGCGCCCGCCUCCUGAAACUCGACCAUUGCCUGCACGUGCGCGGCCGUGGAAGCCUGCGCGUCACGGGUGAAGCCCUCCGGGUCGGCCUGGAACCGGGCGAGCCGAUCCUCAACCUGAUAGCCGAUGGGCAGGUACAAGAGCGGGUUGUGGGCUGUAACUCCCACCCAGGAUUUUUGUGAAAUUCUUAAUUAUAAGAAUUUUCUUCUUAGCAAUUUGCUUUUGCAAACAGAUCUGGAUCAGACAGGAGACAAUCAUUAUUUGACCUCCGGCUGCUCUUCUGGCACCUGUUUUUAAUGCUCCUAUGUUACACGUAGCCGGUUUGAUAAGUCACUGGUGAAAUCCUGUAGCUUAACUGUGGGAAUUGCUGGUGAUACUGUUGAACUUGAGGUCGGGAGAGGUUAGCGGUACUCCCAGGGUAGAGGUGAAAUUCUGUAAUCCUGGGAGGACCACCUGUGGCGAAGGCGGCUAACUGGAACGAACCUGACGGUGAGGGACGAAAGCUAGGGGCGCGAACCGGAUUAGAUACCCGGGUAGUCCUAGCCGUAAACGAUGCGGACUUGGUGUUGGGAUGGCUUUGAGCCGCUCCGGUGCCGAAGGGAAGCUGUUUAAGUCCGCCGCCUGGGAAGUACGGUCGCAAGACUGAAACUUAAAGAAUUGGCGGGGGAGCACCACAACGCGUGGAGCCUGCCGGUUUAUUGGAUUCAACGCCGGACAUCUCACCCGGGACCGACAGCUGUAUGAUUACCAAGGCUGAUGACCUUUGUUUUGACUAUCUGAAAAGGAGGUGCAU
rnacentral:rRNA from 1 species